AAUCAACGCUGGCGGCGUGCCUAACACAUGCAAGUCGAACGCGGUUACCCCGCAAGGGGUAACUGAGUGGCGAACGGGUGAGUAACACGUGGGUGACCUACCUUCGAAUGGGGGAUAACGUCCCGAAAGGGACGCUAAUACCGCAUAACAUCCUGCCUUUGAACAGGUGGAGAUCAAAGCCGGGGAUCGCAAGACCUGGCGUUUGAAGAGGGGCCCGCGUCUGAUUAGCUAGUUGGUGAGGUAACGGCCCACCAAGGCGACGAUCAGUAUCCGGCCUGAGAGGGCGGACGGACACACUGGGACUGAGACACGGCCCAGACUCCUACGGGAGGCAGCAGUGGGGAAUUGUUCGCAAUGGGCGCAAGCCUGACGACGCAACGCCGCGUGGAGGAUGAAGGUCUUCGGAUUGUAAACUCCUGUUGCCCGGGACGAAAAGCUUCGACCUAACACGUCGAAGUCUGACGGUACCGGGUGAGGAAGCCCCGGCUAACUCUGUGC
rnacentral:rRNA from 1 species